ensembl:lncRNA
UGUCUCCUGAGGCUGAGUCUGGAUUUUGUACUUAUGAAGAGGUUUAUUUUCCAGUUUUGUUCAAAUACAGCAGUCUCCCAAGAGCAACAUUGUAGAGAUUUUGACUGUGGAAGAUGGCAGAAUUCUUGCAAGAUUAACAACAUUUGCGCUAUGGCCAUCUAUCAAUUAAAAACCUUACGUGGUCCAAAACAUUCCCCUCAGCCCAGCUCUGAUGGAUCUUUUAAACGAACACUUACAUUCACAAACUGCUGCUUUCCUGCCAUGUACCACUGUGAAGGAUCUGGCUCUGUCUCCUUGCUGGACUCCCUGUAGGUACAAGGAGCUGGUUCAGGUGGUUCAUGGCCAUCUCUUCUCUAGGCUGAACAAGCCUCACUCCCCCAGCCUCUCCUGACAGGACAAGUGCUUCCAAAUUGCUGUUGGAAAUCCCUGUGUUGGCAAGAAACCACAUCGUAUUUACUCUGUCAG